rnacentral:lncRNA from 1 species
CGGUAUGGUGGUAAAGGUGUCUCAUAACUCAUGAAUUAUUUCAUCAGAAAGUUAAAAGGAAAUAGCAAAUUGUUGUUAAUUUGAAUAACAAACCGUACAUUAUAUUUGUCGAGAAAGCAACAUGCUAGUUGAUAGAUUAAUUUUUUUAGGAUAUAUUUACAAAAUUGCAUCACUUUCAUCAUCACUAUCAUGUAUUUAGAAUUUAGAGACUAUGACUAUGAGUGAUGUGAUACCAAUAAAUUUAUUAAUAUAUUUGCCUCCAUAUAUAUCCAUAAAAAAGGCAUUUGGACGAUAAGCAAUACGUCCACGUAGAAUAAGUGAAAGUUUUUUUUUUUUUUUUUUUUUUUUUGGGGUAAGAAGAUAAAGGGAUAGUAAACACGUAUUUUCACAUGUCAACUUUCCAAAAUGGCAGGCGUCCGACCUCAAAAGCAGCCGCCAUUACUUGUCAACCAGUUUAUCCAAGUUGGAAAUUCCAAGUCUGCGGACGAGGACCAAUGGCAUCACACAAAAAUUUCAAAGUACACUCAUAGGGUUGAAAUCCUUAUCACUUAUGUGAGAUUCGAUUGGAGAAAGAUAGAUGUAUCAUUUAGUGAUGGA